GAUGAAGAACGCAGCGAAAUGCGAUACGUAAUGUGAACUGCAGAAUUCAGUGAAUCAUCGAAUCUUUGAACGCAUAUUGCGCUCUCUGGUAUUCCGGAGAGCAUGCUUGUUUGAGUAUCAGUAAACACCUCAACUUCCAUAUCUUUUUUGAAAUGGGAGUUGGACUUGAGUGAUCCCAACGCUUUUCCUCACCGAAAAGUGGCGGGUUACUUGAAAUGCAGGUGCAGCUGGACUUUUCUCUGAGCUAUAAGCAUAUCUAUUUAGUCUGCCUAAAAAACAGAUUAUUACCUUUGCUGCAGCUAACAUAAAGGAGAUUAGUUCUUGUGCUGACUGAUGCAGGAUUCACAAAAACGGCUUCGGCCGACUUUGUAAACUCGAUCUCAAAUCAAGUAAGACUACCCGCUGAACUUAAGCAUAUCAAUAAGCGGAGGA
rnacentral:misc_RNA from 1 species